CCUACGGGGGGCAGCAGUAGGGAAUAUUGCUCAAUGGGCGCAAGCCUGAAGCAGCGACGCCGCGUGAGGGAUGACGGCCUUCGGGUUGUAAACCUCUUUCAGCAGGGACGAAGCGAGAGUGACGGUACCUGCAGAAGAAGCACCGGCCAACUACGUGCCAGCAGCCGCGGUAAUACGUAGGGUGCGAGCGUUGUCCGGAAUUAUUGGGCGUAAAGAGCUCGUAGGCGGUCUGUCACGUCAACUGUGAAAACUCGGGGCUCAACCCCGAGCCUGCAGUCGAUACGGGCAGACUAGAGUUCGGCAGGGGAGACUGGAAUUCCUGGUGUAGCGGUGAAAUGCGCAGAUAUCAGGAGGAACACCGGUGGCGAAGGCGGGUCUCUGGGCCGAAACUGACGCUGAGGAGCGAAAGCGUGGGGAGCGAACAGGAUUAGAUACCCCGG
rnacentral:rRNA from 1 species